UCCGUAGGCGGGCGUCUAAGUUAGUGGUGAAAUCUUACAGCUCAACUGUAAAAUUGCCAUUGAUACUGGAUGUCUUGAAUUAGUGUGAAGUGGUUAGAAUGUGUAGUGUAGCGGUGAAAUGCAUAGAUAUUACACAGAAUACCAAUUGCGAAGGCAGAUCACUAACACUAUAUUGACGCUGAGGGACGAAAGCGUGGGGAGCGAACAGGAUUAGAUACCCUGGUAGUCC
rnacentral:rRNA from 1 species